rnacentral:rRNA from 1 species
AGAACGAACGCUGGCGGCAUGCCUAACACAUGCAAGUCGAACGCUCUUGGGGCUUCGGUCUCAGGGGAGUGGCGCACGGGUGAGUAGCGCGUGGGAACCUGCCCUGUUGUGGGGGAUAACCGAGGGAAACUUCGGCUAAUACCGCAUAAGCCGGUUGUCUUGAAGGAGAUGGCCGGGAAAGAUUUAUCGCGACAGGAGGGGCCCGCGUCGGAUUAGGUAGUUGGUGGGGUAACGGCCCACCAAGCCUGUGACCCGUAGCUGGUCUGAGAGGAUGAUCAGCCACACUGGGACUGAGACACGGCCCAGACUCCUACGGGAGGCAGCAGUGGGGAAUAUUGGACAAUGGGCGCAAGCCUGAUCCAGCAAUGCCGCGUGAGUGAUGAAGGCCUUAGGGUUGUAAAGCUCUUUCGCCCGCGACGAUGAUGACGGUAGCGGGAGAAGAAGCCCCGGCUAACUUCGCGCCAGCAGCCGCA